UGGGGAAUAUUGCACAAUGGGCGCAAGCCUGAUGCAGCCAUGCCGCGUGUGUGAAGAAGGCCUUCGGGUUGUAAAGCACUUUCAGCGGGGAGGAAGGCGGUGAGGUUAAUAACCUCACCGAUUGACGUUACCCGCAGAAGAAGCACCGGCUAACUCCGUGCCAGCAGCCGCGGUAAUACGGAGGGUGCAAGCGUUAAUCGGAAUUACUGGGCGUAAAGCGCACGCAGGCGGUCUGUCAAGUCGGAUGUGAAAUCCCCGGGCUCAACCUGGGAACUGCAUUCGAAACUGGCAGGCUAGAGUCUUGUAGAGGGGGGUAGAAUUCCAGGUGUAGCGGUGAAAUGCGUAGAGAUCUGGAGGAACACCAGUGGCGAAGGCGGCUCUCUGGUCUGUAACUGACGCUGAGGCUCGAAAGCGUGGGGAGCAAACAGG
rnacentral:rRNA from 1 species